UACGAAGGGGGCUAGCGUUGCUCGGAAUUACUGGGCGUAAAGGGCGCGUAGGCGGCACUGUUAGUCAGGCGUGAAAGUCCUGGGCUCAACCUGGGAACUGCGCUUGAUACGGCAGAGCUAGAGGAUGGAAGAGGGUCGCGGAAUUCCCAGUGUAGAGGUGAAAUUCGUAGAUAUUGGGAAGAACACCGGUGGCGAAGGCGGCGACCUGGUCCAUUACUGACGCUGAGGCGCGACAGCGGUGGGGGAGCAAACAGG
rnacentral:rRNA from 1 species